UAUAUCUUGGUGUAUGGUGCACGGCGGCUUUUGAUGCUUGGUGGUGACAGUUUAAUUCUGUCGGAUGUAA
rnacentral:tRNA from 1 species